rnacentral:rRNA from 1 species
UACAGAGGGUGCAAACGUUGCUCGGAAUCAUUGGGCGUAAAGCGCACGUAGGCGGCCCAGCAAGUGGGGGAGUGAAAGCCCUCGGCUUUAACCGAGGAAGUGCUUUCCAAACUACUGGGCUUGAAUACUGGAGAGGGUCGCGGAAUUCCCGGUGUAGAGGUGAAAUUCGUAGAUAUCGGGGAGGAACACCAGUGGCGAAGGCGGCGACCUGGA